rnacentral:rRNA from 1 species
GCGCCCGAUCUCGUCUGAUCUCGGAAGUUAA